GACGAACGCUGGCGGCGUGCUUAACACAUGCAAGUCGAACGGAAAGGCCCUGCUUUUGUGGGGUGCUCGAGUGGCGAACGGGUGAGUAACACGUGAGUAACCUGCCCUUGACUUUGGGAUAACUUCAGGAAACUGGGGCUAAUACCGGAUAGGAGCUCCUGCUGCAUGGUGGGGGUUGGAAAGUUUCGGCGGUUUGGGAUGGACUCGCGGCUUAUCAGCUUGUUGGUGGGGUAGUGGCUUACCAAGGCAUUGACGGGUAGCCGGCCUGAGAGGGGGACCGGCCACAUUGGGACUGCGAUACGGCCCAGACUCCUACGGGAGGCAGCAGUGGGGAAUAUUGCACAAUGGGCGGAAGCCUGAUGCAGCAGCGCCGCGUGCGGGAUGACGGCCUUCGGGUUGUAAACCGCUUUCGCCUGUGACGAAGCGUGAGUGACGGUAAUGGGUAAAGAAGCACCGGCUAACUACGUG
rnacentral:rRNA from 1 species